UUUUCAAUUUAGCUAUAUUUUCAUCCCACAAAGAUGCGUUGUUUCUCAAUAUUUUCAGUUUCUCUUUGAAUAAAUUUUCUCUCUUUUAUCUUUCUUAGAGAGAAAUGAAUUCUUCUUUUGAAAUUAACAAUUGUUGCGAUAUAAUUUUGCAUGUUCGUCCAGUCAAUAUAGUUCAAAUAACGGCUCAACCAAACCAAAAAAUUGCUAUUAGUAAAUGGUGCUAAUAGCAGUUGUAGUAUCAAGUCAUCCAAUGGAGAAUGAAUCAAGGACAUUGAGUUUGGGAUAACUCCCCAUCAACUCACAGGAGGAAGAGAAGGUUGGUUAAUGCCGAAGUCGUAUACAACGAUUCUGUUAGCUUCAUAAUCGUACGCUUACAAGGUGAAGUUAACAUAUACACGGUAAAAUUAAACAAAAUUAUGACAUUUGGUUUUUAAUAUUUCUAUGUGUAAAUUCAAAUAACUCGAGAUUUUUUCUUGAACAAUAUGAUAAUAAUUACGAGACAA